ACUCUAGUCUGACUCUGUGAAAAGACAUGAGAGGUGUAGAAUAAGUGGGAGUAGCAAUACGUCGGUGAAAUACCACUACUCUUAUCGUUUUUUUACUUAUUCGAUGAAGCGGAAGCGAACCGCAAGGUUCACGUUCUGGAUUUAAGGUCUCUCUUUUGCAGACCGAUCCGUGUCGAAGACACUGUCAGGUUGGGAGUUUGGCUGGGGCGGCACAUCUGUCAAACGAUAACGCAGGUGUCCUAAGGUGAGCUCAAUGAGAACAGAAAUCUCAUGUAGAACAAAAGGGUAAAAGCUCACUUGAUUUUGAUUUUCAGUAUGAAUACAAACUGUGAAAGCAUGGCCUAUCGAUCCUUUNNNNNNNNNNNN
rnacentral:rRNA from 1 species